GGCGCCGGCAGCAGCGCGUGUGCCUGGGCGAGUUUUCCUUCCGCAGGUGCCAGCAGCCGGGGCGCCGCCGCCCAAGCUGACUCCUCUCUCUCCCUCUCUGACCCCGGCAGGGCCCAGAGGUGAUUCUGCCUGCACGAUGUCCUCCUUCCUGGAGACGAGCUCUUCGCAGGCGCCACGUCGCGAACAAAAAGAGAAAAGAAAAA
rnacentral:lncRNA from 1 species